AUUGAACGCUGGCGGCAGGCCUAACACAUGCAAGUCGAGCGAACGGCGGACGGGUGAGUACUGUAUGGGGACUGCCCGAUCGUGGGGGCUAACUACUGGAAACUGUGGCUAAUCCCGCAUACUAUCUUAUCGCCCAUAUGGGAUUAUGUAGUAGGUGGGGUAAAGGCUCACCUAGGCGAACAUCUCUAGCUGGUCUGAGAGGAUGAUCGGCCACACUGGGACUGAGACACGGCCCAGACUCCUACGGAGGCAGCAGUGGGGAAUAUUGCACAAUGGGCGCAAGCCUGAUGCAGCAAUGCCGCGUGUAUGAAGAAGGCCUUAGGGUUGUAAAGUACUUUCAGCGGGGAGGCGUUACCCGCAGAAGAAGCACCGGCUAACUCCGUGCCAGCAGCCGCGGUAAUUC
rnacentral:rRNA from 1 species